rnacentral:rRNA from 1 species
AACGAACGCUGGCGGCAUGCCUAACACAUGCAAGUCGAACGAGACCUUCGGGUCUAGUGGCGCACGGGUGCGUAACGCGGGGGAACCUGCCCGUAGGUUCGGAAUAACUCACCGAAAGGGGUGCUAAUACCGGAUAAUGUCUUCGGACCAAAGAUUUAUCGCCUUUGGAUGGGCCCGCGUUGGAUUAGCUAGUUGGUAGGGUAAAAGCCUCCCAAGGCGACGAUCCAUAGCUGGGCGGAGAGGAUGAUCAGCCACCCUGGGACUGAGACCCGGCCCAGACUCCUACGGGAGGCAGCAGUGGGGAACAUUGGACAAUGGGCGAAAGCCUGAUCCUGCCAUGCCGCGUGAGUGAUGAAGGCCUUAGGGUUGUAAAGCUCUUUUACCCGGGAUGAUAAUGACAGUACCGGGAGAAUAAGCGCCGGCUAACUCCGUG